rnacentral:rRNA from 1 species
GAUGAACGCUGGCGGCGUGCCUAAUACAUGCAAGUCGAGCGAACGGACGAGAAGCUUGCUUCUCUGAUGUUAGCGGCGGACGGGUGAGUAACACGUGGAUAACCUACCUAUAAGACUGGGAUAACUUCGGGAAACCGGAGCUAAUCCCGGAUAAUAUUUUGAACCGCAUGGUUCAAAAGUGAAAGCCGUUUUUGCUGUCACUUAUAGAUGGAUCCGCGCUGCAUUAGCUAGUUGGUAAGGUAACGGCUUACCAAGGCAACGAUGCAUAGCCGACCUGAGAGGGUGAUCGGCCACACUGGAGCUGAGACACGGUCCAGACUCCUACGGGAGGCAGCAGUAGGGAAUCUUCCGCAAUGGGCGAAAGCCUGACGGAGCAACGCCGCGUGAGUGAUGAAGGUCUUCGGAUCGUAAAACUCUGUUAUUAGGGAAGAACAUAUGUGUAAGUAACUGUGCACAUCUUGACGGUACCUAAUCAGAAAGCCACGGCUAACUACGUG